rnacentral:rRNA from 1 species
CACGACUCCGGUGUACCUCCCUCUCCUCCUCUGGAGGAGAGGGUUGGGGAGAGGAGGCCGCACGCGCUGAUGCCGACUCAAUCCAUGGGGUCCUCCAGGAUACGAGCCCCUCCCCCUAACCCUCUCCCCGCAGGCGGGGAGAGGGAAACGCCCGCCAAUGCGCGAUGGCAGUGCCGAUAAGCACCCUCCUGACUCCCUGCUAAGUCCGGAAGUCCUCACCCUGGCUGGAUCACCUCCUUAAGCCGAAUUCCAGCACACUGGCGGCCGUUACUAGUGGAUCCGAGCUCGGUACCAAGCUUGGCGUAAUCAUGGUCAUAGCUGUUUCCUGUGUGAAAUUGUU